GACUUGCUUCAACACUUCUGACUUCCAGAAUUAUGAGAGAAUCACUUUCUCUUUUUUCAAGCUACUUAGUUUGGUAAUUUGUUACAGCAGCCUCAGGAAACUAAUACAUCUGCAUAUCUUCUCUUCCUGUGUCCCAUCUGGAUGGCAUUCCUGACCUGCCUGUGUUCAAGUUGCAAUCUAUCCUGAUUCCUCCACUCCCACUGGACCUGUGGCAUCCAGCAAACUAAUAAGUUCUGCAAAGUCUGUUCCCUCAGUAGUUUUUCACUCUUCCCCACUGACUGAACUCCACAUCACCAGUGCCCAGUCUGAGGUUUCAAUAAUGUCCAUCUAGUUCACUGUAGCAGCCUCUUAUGUGUCUGGCCAGUCCACCGUCCUCCAUGUUGCUGCUCUGAACUGCAAAGCUGACCAGAGACUGCUUAAAACUCUGGAUUCAGUCCUCCUAAUAAUUAUGAACCACUCAAACUCUUUGGAAGACAUGUCUUUCUUGAUCAUUUGUCCCUACAAUGGUUGGCCUUGGGCAUACACAGAUGAACAAGAAUAAGCAUACCUGUCAGCUGGGGAAGAGACCCAGAUAAAGACCUCAUUCCAAUACAGUGAAGCAAAGGAUAAAGAGUGGUUGGUGUUACAAAAGAAUGAUGGGGAACAAAAUUGCUAAAUUGUUAAUGUAGUCUAGGGACAGAGAAUCUUCCUCCAACAAAGCAGCAUUCUCACUGACAGCAGGCAGAUGAGGUAAGCGAAGAAAGAAGGGAAGAGUGUCUGGCUCAGGAGCAGCCUGACUUGGGCUUUCUGGUUGUAGGCUUUCCUGUUGGCUGUACCUUCUGCCAUAAUACUUGCUGUUUCCCUUCCCUGACCUGACCCUCCUCUGGGAAGCCUUCCCUGAUUACUCCCAUAUCCUCUGGCUAGAACACCAGGUCCACUCCCUCCCUGGUGUGUACUUUCCCUCCCUGGCUACACCAUCCACUCAGGCAGGUUCCAUGUUCACAUUAUGAGGUCAUUUCUCAAGGAUGAGUGCACCCCAUACACUCAGCAGAUGUAGCUAGAUAAGAGGAGGAUUACUCCCCUCCUUACAGUAGCACAACUGUGCUCAUUUCAUACCUAACCUGAGCCCCAGGCACACUCAACAUGCAAGAAUGACACCAUUCUACCUACCAGUGUGGGACAAUGGUAAUCAGCUUGGAUUCCCAGCAAAUACUCUUGAAUGAAUCAAGAUGAUCACAUUCUCAGUCUUGAUGGCUCUGGUCCAUCACACCCUGCUUCCUACCACAGGGUCCUGGUGGCCCUGUACAGAUUCUCUGUGAAGGCGCAUUAGCUUCUCAGGCUACAAAUCCUCAGAUAGUGAGGCUAGUCUGGUGGCUAAUCUGGUGUCCCUUCUUGUUUAACAUAUGGUACCUGAUUUCUGCCUCUGUCCACCCAUCUUCAGCUUCUGAUGCAUUAUUUCUUUACCUGAAUCUGAAUAUUUGACCACGCAUGCUGUCGCCAUCCGCCUUCAGGGACACAGGAUCAAACAAGAGGCCCACAUGCACCAAGACAGAGGAAUCUACUGC